rnacentral:rRNA from 1 species
AGAGUUUGAUCCUGGCUCAGGAUGAACGCUGGCGGCAUGCCUAACACAUGCAAGUCGAUCGGUAAGGCUCUUCGGAGUACACGAGAGGCGGACGGCUGAGUAACGCGUAGGAACACACCCUGCAGUGAGGGAUAAGACACCGAAAGGUGUUCUAAUACCGCAUACGGUCUUCGGAUUAAAGCAUUUAUGCGCUGAAGGAGUGGCCUGCGUCAUAUUAGAUAGUUGGUGAGGUAAUGGCUUACCAAGUCGAUGAUGUGUAGCUGGUCUGAGAGGAUGAUCAGCCAGACUGGAACUGAGACACGGUCCAGACUCCUACGGGAGGCAGCAGUGAGGAAUAUUUCACAAUGAGCGAAAGCUUGAUGGAGCAAUGCCGCGUGCAGGAUGAAGGCCCUCGGGUUGUAAACUGCUUUUAUAAGAGAAGAUUAUGACGGUAACUUAUGAAUAAGGGACGGCUAACUACGUGCCAGCAGCCGCGGUCAUACGUAGGUCCCGAGCGUUAUCCGGAGUGACUGGGCGUAAAGAGUUGCGUAGGCGGUCAAGUUAGCGAGCGAUGAAAACUAUCGGCUCAACCGAUAGCUUGUUGUUCGAACUGCUUGACUUGAGAGUAUCAGAGGUCGCUGGAAUUCCUAGUGUAGCAGUGAAAUGCGUAGAUAUUAGGAAGAACACCGAUGGCGUAGGCAGGCGACUGGGAUAUUUCUGACGCUAAGGCACGAAAGCGUGGGUAGCGAACCGGAUUAGAUACCCGGGUAGUCCACGCCGUAAACGAUGGAUGCUAAUUGUUUGAGGUAUCGACCCCUCGAGUAAUAAAGCUAACGCGUUAAGCAUCCCGCCUGUGGAGUACGGCCGCAAGGCUAAAACAUAAAGGAAUUGACGGGGACCCGCACAAGCGGUGGAUCAUGUUCUUUA